UCCCUGGUGGCUCAGAUGGUAAAGCGUCUGCCUACAAUGUGGCAGACCCAGGUUCAAUUCCUGGGUCGGGAA
rfam:Ovis aries breed Texel chromosome 6, whole genome shotgun sequence.